UUAUAGUAACGGCAGGAUACUAGG
rnacentral:piRNA from 1 species